GCCAUCAUUUAGUUGGGCACUUUAAAGAGACUGCCGGUGUUAAGCCGGAGGAAGGUGGGGAUGACGUCAAGUCCUCAUUGGCCUUAUGCCCAGGGCUACACACGUGCUACAAUGGGCGGUACAAAGAGAAGCAACCUCGCGAGGGUGAGCAAAUCUCAAAAAGCCGUUCUCAGUUCGGAUUGAAGUCUGCAACUCGACUUCAUGAAGUCGGAAUCGCUAGUAAUCGCGGAUCAGCAUGCCGCGGUGAAUACGUUCCCGGGCCUU
rnacentral:rRNA from 1 species